rnacentral:rRNA from 1 species
UACGUAGGGUGCGAGCGUUGUCCGGAAUUAUUGGGCGUAAAGAGCUUGUAGGCGGUUUGUCGCGUCUGCUGUGAAAAUCCGGGGCUCAACCCCGGACUUGCAGUGGGUACGGGCAGACUAGAGUGUGGUAGGGGAGACUGGAAUUCCUGGUGUAGCGGUGGAAUGCGCAGAUAUCAGGAGGAACACCGAUGGCGAAGGCAGGUCUCUGGGCCGCUACUGACGCUGAGAAGCGAAAGCAUGGGGAGCGAACAGG